AACAAGGAGGAAUGGACUGGCUUUGUUUGCCCUUUUUGCUCUUUUCGAAUAAUAUUACCCCUCUCCUGAGGCCUGUUGGCUGAAGCAGAAGCUUUGAGUGGAAGUGGGUGCAGAAGCCCCCUGUGCCAGCUCUCACAUGUGUCUUUUCAAUUGCACAGGCUUUUUCUGAUAUUGUAAAGAAAGUGUUAGGUGGCAAGCGGCGUCCUGCUGCAAAACGCAAACCAGUGGGUGUGCGCUCUACUGCAGUGGAAUGUGGCAAAGGGGUCUUGAAACAAGCAUGUAGAGAAGGGAUGAAGGAAGAUGGAGUCUUGCAGCCAGCAGGGGGAGAAGCAAAAGACGAAGACAACGAUUCUCCCUGGGAUUCUGAGGUACUUUCUCUGAGGCAGACAGUGGAGGUCCUUCUGAUCCAUCUGCUUCACUUUCCUUUGCUGCUGCUUCUGCCACACGUUCAUAACUUGGACCUUGACAGGCUGCUCCUUUAGACAAGCUGUUCAGGGGGGGGGGGGGGGGGGGGGGGGGGGGGGGGGGGGGGGGG
rnacentral:lncRNA from 1 species